rnacentral:rRNA from 1 species
AGCCUCCUACGGGACGCAGCAGUGAGGAAUAUUGGUCAAUGGUCGGGAGACUGAACCAGCCAAGCCGCGUGAGGGAGGAAGGUACAGAGUAUCGUAAACCUCUUUUGUCAGGGAACAAAGACUGGGACGCGUCCCCGGAUGAGUGUACCUGAAGAAAAAGCAUCGGCUAACUCCGUGCCAGCAGCCGCGGUAAUACGGAGGAUGCGAGCGUUAUCCGGAUUUAUUGGGUUUAAAGGGUGCGCAGGCGGUCUGUUAAGUCAGCGGUCAAAGCCCGGGGCUCAACCCCGGCCCGCCGUUGAAACUGG